rnacentral:rRNA from 1 species
AUUGAACGCUGGCGGCAGGCCUAACACAUGCAAGUCGAACGAGUGGCGGACGGGUGAGGAAUACAUCGGAAUCUACUCUAUCUAGGGGGAUAACGUGGGGAACCUUUCGCUAAUACUGCAUACGAUUGUAUGGGCCGAUGUGGGAUUAGCUAGUGGGGGGGGUAUAGGCCCACCAAGGCGACGAUCCGUAGCUGGUCUGAGAGGAUGAUCGGCCACACUGGAACUGAGACACGGUCCAGACUCCUACGGGAGGCAGCAGUGGGGAAUAUUGGACAAUGGGCGCAAGCCUGAUCCAGCCAUGCCGCGUGGGUGAAGAAGGCUUUCGGGUUGUAAAGCCCUUUUGUUGGGGAAGCGGUACCCAAAGAAUAAGCACCGGCUAACUUCGUGCCAGCAGCCGCGGUAAUAC